UACGUAGGAGGCGAGCGUUGUCCGGAAUUACUGGGCGUAAAGAGCGCGUAGGUGGCGCGAUACGACCGGUGUGAAAUCCUCCGGCUCAACUGGAGGGGGUCACUGGUAACGGUCGUGCUGAUGAGUGCAGGAGAGGGACGUGGAACUCCGGGAGUAGCGGUGAAAUGCGUAGAGACCCGGAGGAACACCAGUGGCGAAGGCGGCGUCCUGGCCUGCGACUGACGCUGUGGCGCGAAAGCUAGGGGAGCGAACGGGAUUAGAACUACCCGUGU
rnacentral:rRNA from 1 species